rnacentral:lncRNA from 1 species
GCUGGAGGGAAAUAUCAAAAUAGAAAACAUUUUUGCCUGUGAAUGAUGGAAUCAUAGAUAAUGUUUCAGUUUUCUUUCAUUUUUUCUUUAAAUUUUCUUUGCUUUUUAAAUUAUUUGAUCAUCAGGAAAAAAUAUCAAGUGAAAAAUAUUUAAAAUGAUGAAUGACUACUAAUACAUCAGCCGCACAGGUCAUUUAAAAUACCCAGAAAUAGUAAAACAAGGAAUUCUCUCAAAUCUAGGAAGGAUUCACUAUCAUUUUAGUUGAGACGAUGAGUGUCAUCAAGGUAUCAGUUAAUAUACGAGAAAAGUGUUAAGGAAGCCAACACAUAAAGAAUAUUUACACACAAAGACGCAUAAAGAAUGCUUAUCACAGGGUCGUAGCUUUUACUCAGAAGAUCCAAGUAUCAAAGGGUAUGGUUUUCAAAUAGCAGUUGAUUAUUUUCUGGACCUGGAAUUUUGUGAACCAUUUGCUUUCACCUUCUAAAGUCUUUGGAACGAGACUCAUAUUCACCCAUUUUACUAUCUCUUUUUCACUUCCUUAUUUCUUCCCUUUGAGCUUAAAAAGACUAGUUCAUAUUCUUAAGAAAUUUCCUCUUUUUUUCACACUAAUCUUUUCUCUCUUUAAACGUUUUCAAAUGUUUUCCUGCUUUAAUGUUAGGGAGCACACGGAAAUCGAUUCUACAAAAUCAGAUACGCUGAACUACAAAAUUAGGCCCUUAAUAUAUCAGUAUCCAGUUCUUGGACGACAACACUAAAGUAAGUUAUAAAAUGUGGUUCUUAAUACUAAACUUAAAAAAGGGAUACGAUUGCCGUUUACACGAACCCGAUGGGAAUGAGUAUGGUGACAACGCUCUUAGAUGAAAGUAUUACAUGGCUGUAUAUCCACAUACCCAUGUGCAGCUGCAAGCUCCAUAAAGGGAAGAAUCCUAUUUUUAAUCCAUGUUUACUUAUUAUCUUCCUAAGUAUAUACGGUAGAGUUAGCGCCCAAGUGUUUCCGGGUUUCUGCACUAGAUCUCUCAGAAGAGCCAGGAGCAGUUCAGCCUCUUCCCAGCGGCACUUGCAUCACAGUGUUACCACUUGCUCUGACGGCUAACCGUCCCUACUGGUGCAGGGAAGAGCCAUUGUGGCUUUGCGCAUGCGCUCUCCGCCCCUGGGCCCCGCUGCUGCUCCUCCCAAUCUGCGAUGCUACCUCUCUCAUAUGGUGCAGCCAACUCUUAAACUCCACACACGCCCUUUCACAGCCCUCCCCUCCUCAGCAUCCUAGACAUUUGCGAUGCACAAAAGGUUUGUUCCUGAGUCUCAUAAGUAUAGCAAAAAGAAAAAAGAAAACACUGCUUAUUAAACCCACUUUCCCAUACACUGUUGAGAAGAAGCCAUUUAAAAGGCUCUCCUUUGCUGUGGAUGUCUCAAAGGCACACUCCCUGAGCAAGAGGGAAUUCUCCAACAGAUUGCCUUUGGACUUCAUCUGUACCAUCAGCUCUUCUAGGUCAUCAGCCUGCUGGCCUUUAGCCUGGAACUGGAACAGUGGCUCUGCUGAGUCUCCAGCCUGCCAACCCACACUGCAGCUGGACUAGUCAGCUUCCAUAGCCACAUGAGCCAAUUCCUUAUAAAAAAUAUCUUUCUAUAUAUGCACACAUAUUCUAUUAGUUCUAUUUCUCUAGAGAAUCCUAAUACACCUGCGUUCUCAUUAAUAUACAUUCCAAACCUGGG